AUUUUUAAUUUUUUUUAACAGAAAACUUUCAUGCUCUGAGCACUGGAGAGAAAGGAUUUGGUUCUAAGGGUUCCUGCUUUCAGAGAAUUAUUCCAGGGUUUAUGUGUCAGGGUGGUGACUUCAUACACCAUAAUGGCACUGGUGGCAAGUCCAUCUACAGGAAAUUUGAUGAGAACUUCAUCCUAAAGCAUACAGGUCCUGGCAUCUUGUCCAUGGCAAAUGCUGGAUCCAACACAAAUGGUUCUCAGUUUUUCAUCUGCACUGCCAAGACUGAGUGGUUGGAUGACAAGCAUGUGGCCUUUGGCAAGGUGAAAGAAGGCAUGAAUAUUUGUGGACGCCAUGGAGUGGUUUUGGGUUCAGGAAUGACAAGACCAGCAAGAAGAUCGAUCACCGCUGCUGAUGGUGGACCACUCUAAUAAGUUUGACUUGUGUUUUAUCUUUUGUUUUUGUUUGUUUUCUGAGACAGAGUCUCGCUUUUGCCAGGCUGGGGGGCAGUGGCACGAU